rnacentral:rRNA from 3 species
AGAGUUUGAUCAUGGCUCAGAUUGAACGCUGGCGGCAGGCCUAACACAUGCAAGUCGAGCGGUAGCACAGAGAGCUUGCUCUCGGGUGACGAGCGGCGGACGGGUGAGUAAUGUCUGGGAAACUGCCUGAUGGAGGGGGAUAACUACUGGAAACGGUAGCUAAUACCGCAUAACGUCGCAAGACCAAAGUGGGGGACCUUCGGGCCUCAUGCCAUCAGAUGUGCCCAGAUGGGAUUAGCUGGUAGGUGGGGUAACGGCUCACCUAGGCGACGAUCCCUAGCUGGUCUGAGAGGAUGACCAGCCACACUGGAACUGAGACACGGUCCAGACUCCUACGGGAGGCAGCAGUGGGGAAUAUUGCACAAUGGGCGCAAGCCUGAUGCAGCCAUGCCGCGUGUGUGAAGAAGGCCUUCGGGUUGUAAAGCACUUUCAGCGGGGAGGAAGGCGGUGAGGUUAAUAACCUCAUCGAUUGACGUUACCCGCAGAAGAAGCACCGGCUAACUCCGUGCCAGCAGCCGCGGUAAUACGGAGGGUGCAAGCGUUAAUCGGAAUUACUGGGCGUAAAGCGCACGCAGGCGGUCUGUCAAGUCGGAUGUGAAAUCCCCGGGCUCAACCUGGGAACUGCAUUCGAAACUGGCAGGCUAGAGUCUUGUAGAGGGGGGUAGAAUUCCAGGUGUAGCGGUGAAAUGCGUAGAGAUCUGGAGGAAUACCGGUGGCGAAGGCGGCCCCCUGGACAAAGACUGACGCUCAGGUGCGAAAGCGUGGGGAGCAAACAGGAUUAGAUACCCUGGUAGUCCACGCUGUAAACGAUGUCGAUUUGGAGGUUGUGCCCUUGAGGCGUGGCUUCCGGAGCUAACGCGUUAAAUCGACCGCCUGGGGAGUACGGCCGCAAGGUUAAAACUCAAAUGAAUUGACGGGGGCCCGCACAAGCGGUGGAGCAUGUGGUUUAAUUCGAUGCAACGCGAAGAACCUUACCUGGUCUUGACAUCCACAGAACUUUCCAGAGAUGGAUUGGUGCCUUCGGGAACUGUGAGACAGGUGCUGCAUGGCUGUCGUCAGCUCGUGUUGUGAAAUGUUGGGUUAAGUCCCGCAACGAGCGCAACCCUUAUCCUUUGUUGCCAGCGGUCCGGCCGGGAACUCAAAGGAGACUGCCAGUGAUAAACUGGAGGAAGGUGGGGAUGACGUCAAGUCAUCAUGGCCCUUACGACCAGGGCUACACACGUGCUACAAUGGCAUAUACAAAGAGAAGCGACCUCGCGAGAGCAAGCGGACCUCAUAAAGUAUGUCGUAGUCCGGAUUGGAGUCUGCAACUCGACUCCAUGAAGUCGGAAUCGCUAGUAAUCGUAGAUCAGAAUGCUACGGUGAAUACGUUCCCGGGCCUUGUACACACCGCCCGUCACACCAUGGGAGUGGGUUGCAAAAGAAGUAGGUAGCUUAACCUUCGGGAGGGCGCUUACCACUUUGUGAUUCAUGACUGGGGUGAAGUCGUAACAAGGUAACCGUAGGGGAACCUGCGGUUG